rnacentral:rRNA from 1 species
GAUGAACGCUGGCGGCAUGCCUAAUACAUGCAAGUCGAACGGAGCGAAUAUGGAAGCUUGCUUUUAUAAGAGCUCAGUGGCGAACGGGUGAGUAACACGUAGGUAACCUGCCCAUGUGCCCGGGAUAACUGCUGGAAACGGUAGCUAAAACCGGAUAGGUGGACGGAAGGCAUCUUCCGUGCAUUAAAGGACCUUUAGGGGUGCGAACAUGGAUGGACCUGCGGCGCAUUAGCUGGUUGGAGUGGUAACGGCACACCAAGGCGACGAUGCGUAGCCGACCUGAGAGGGCGAACGGCCACAUUGGGACUGAGACACGGCCCAAACUCCUACGGGAGGCAGCAGUAGGGAAUUUUCGUCAAUGGGGGGAACCCUGAACGAGCAAUGCCGCGUGAGUGAGGAAGGUCUUCGGAUCGUAAAGCUCUGUUGUAAGCGAAGAACGGUCAUCAUAGGAAAUGAUGGUGAAGUGACGGUAGCUUACCAGAAAGCCACGGCUAACUACGUGCCAGCCGCCGCGGUAAAAC